rnacentral:rRNA from 2 species
UCCUGACUGACCGAUAGUGAACCAGUACCGUGAGGGAAAGGCGAAAAGAACCCCGGCGAGGGGAGUGAAAAAGAACCUGAAACCGUGUACGUACAAGCAGUGGGAGCACGCUUAGGCGUGUGACUGCGUACCUUUUGUAUAAUGGGUCAGCGACUUAUAUUCUGUAGCAAGGUUAACCGAAUAGGGGAGCCGAAGGGAAACCGAGUCUUAACUGGGCGUUAAGUUGCAGGGUAUAGACCCGAAACCCGGUGAUCUAGCCAUGGGCAGGUUGAAGGUUGGGUAACACUAACUGGAGGACCGAACCGACUAAUGUUGAAAAAUUAGCGGAUGACUUGUGGCUGGGGGUGAAAGGCCAAUCAAACCGGGAGAUAGCUGGUUCUCCCCGAAAGCUAUUUAGGUAGCGCCUCGUGAAUUCAUCUCCGGGGGUAGAGCACUGUUUCGGCAAGGGGGUCAUCCCGACUUACCAACCCGAUGCAAACUGCGAAUACCGGAGAAUGUUAUCACGGGAGACACACGGCGGGUGCUAACGUCCGUCGUGAAGAGGGAAACAACCCAGACCGCCAGCUAAGGUCCCAAAGUCAUGGUUAAGUGGGAAACGAUGUGGGAAGGCCCAGACAGCCAGGAUGUUGGCUUAGAAGCAGCCAUCAUUUAAAGAAAGCGUAAUAGCUCACUGGUCGAGUCGGCCUGCGCGGAAGAUGUAACGGGGCUAAACCAUGCACCGAAGCUGCGGCAGCGACGCUUAUGCGUUGUUGGGUAGGGGAGCGUUCUGUAAGCCUGCGAAGGUGUGCUGUGAGGCAUGCUGGAGGUAUCAGAAGUGCGAAUGCUGACAUAAGUAACGAUAAAGCGGGUGAAAAGCCCGCUCGCCGGAAGACCAAGGGUUCCUGUCCAACGUUAAUCGGGGCAGGGUGAGUCGACCCCUAAGGCGAGGCCGAAAGGCGUAGUCGAUGGGAAACAGGUUAAUAUUCCUGUACUUGGUGUUACUGCGAAGGGGGGACGGAGAAGGCUAUGUUGGCCGGGCGACGGUUGUCCCGGUUUAAGCGUGUAGGCUGGUUUUCCAGGCAAAUCCGGAAAAUCAAGGCUGAGGCGUGAUGACGAGGCACUACGGUGCUGAAGCAACAAAUGCCCUGCUUCCAGGAAAAGCCUCUAAGCAUCAGGUAACAUCAAAUCGUACCCCAAACCGACACAGGUGGUCAGGUAGAGAAUACCAAGGCGCUUGAGAGAACUCGGGUGAAGGAACUAGGCAAAAUGGUGCCGUAACUUCGGGAGAAGGCACGCUGAUAUGUAGGUGAAGUCCCUUGCGGAUGGAGCUGAAAUCAGUCGAAGAUACCAGCUGGCUGCAACUGUUUAUUAAAAACACAGCACUGUGCAAACACGAAAGUGGACGUAUACGGUGUGACGCCUGCCCGGUGCCGGAAGGUUAAUUGAUGGGGUCAGCGCAAGCGAAGCUCUUGAUCGAAGCCCCGGUAAACGGCGGCCGUAACUAUAACGGUCCUAAGGUAGCGAAAUUCCUUGUCGGGUAAGUUCCGACCUGCACGAAUGGCGUAAUGAUGGCCAGGCUGUCUCCACCCGAGACUCAGUGAAAUUGAACUCGCUGUGAAGAUGCAGUGUACCCGCGGCAAGACGGAAAGACCCCGUGAACCUUUACUAUAGCUUGACACUGAACAUUGAGCCUUGAUGUGUAGGAUAGGUGGGAGGCUUUGAAGUGUGGACGCCAGUCUGCAUGGAGCCGGCCUUGAAAUACCACCCUUUAAUGUUUGAUGUUCUAACGUGGACCCGUGAUCCGGGUUGCGGACAGUGUCUGGUGGGUAGUUUGACUGGGGCGGUCUCCUCCUAAAGAGUAACGGAGGAGCACGAAGGUUGGCUAAUCCUGGUCGGACAUCAGGAGGUUAGUGCAAUGGCAUAAGCCAGCUUGACUGCGAGCGUGACGGCGCGAGCAGGUGCGAAAGCAGGUCAUAGUGAUCCGGUGGUUCUGAAUGGAAGGGCCAUCGCUCAACGGAUAAAAGGUACUCCGGGGAUAACAGGCUGAUACCGCCCAAGAGUUCAUAUCGACGGCGGUGUUUGGCACCUCGAUGUCGGCUCAUCACAUCCUGGGGCUGAAGUAGGUCCCAAGGGUAUGGCUGUUCGCCAUUUAAAGUGGUACGCGAGCUGGGUUUAGAACGUCGUGAGACAGUUCGGUCCCUAUCUGCCGUGGGCGCUGGAGAACUGAGGGGGGCUGCUCCUAGUACGAGAGGACCGGAGUGGACGCAUCACUGGUGUUCGGGUUGUCAUGCCAAUGGCACUGCCCGGUAGCUAAAUGCGGAAGAGAUAAGUGCUGAAAGCAUCUAAGCACGAAACUUGCCCCGAGAUGAGUUCUCCCUGACCCUUUAAGGGUCCUGAAGGAACGUUGAAGACGACGACGUUGAUAGGCCGGGUGUGUAAGCGCAGCGAUGCGUUGAGCUAACCGGUACUAAUGAACCGUGAGG